AAGAGAAGGUAUUGAAAUAAGAAUUUAAUAUAUUAAGAGAAUGGGGAGUGGUGUUUUCUUUCAUGCAGAGGAAAGGUUUUACAUAAUGGGUAGGACGAGAGAGAAAAGUAAAGGCUUAGUCUUUUAGUGGAAUGAAGGGUGUUGGCCCCAUGUUGGGGUGGAGAAAAUAGGAAAAAGAAAGUUCAGUUUAUGAUUUUUAAUUUGGAAUGGGAAGUUU
rnacentral:lncRNA from 1 species